rnacentral:rRNA from 1 species
UACGACGGGCGCAAGCGUUAAUAGGAAUUACUGGGCGUAAAGCGUGCGUAGGUGGUUUGUUAAGUCAGAUGUGAAAGCCCUGGGCUCAACCUGGGAACUGCAUUUGAUACUGGCAGGCUAGAGUGCGGUAGAGGGUGGUGGAAUUCCCGGUGUAGCGGUGAAAUGCGUAGAGAUCGGGAGGAACAUUCGUGGCGAAGGCGGCCACCUGGACCAGCACUGACACUGAGGCACGAAAGCGUGGGGAGCAAACAGG